rnacentral:misc_RNA from 1 species
GAAAGGCGAAACGUAAUGUGAAUCGCAACUAACAGUGAAUCAUCGAAUCUUUGAACGCAAAUUGCACUCUUUGGUAUUCCGAAGAGUAUGCCUAUUUGAGAAUCAAUUAAUUAAUCAACAUAUCGAUACACUUAUUGGCUUGAUAUUUGUAUCGGAUUUGAGCUAUCUUGAUGACAAAGUGGCUUAAAAUUGGAUACCUGACCCAUUUUUUGACUCAUUUUUCGCAAAAACAAAAAUUUGAUCUCAAAUUAGGUAAGAUUACCCGCUGAACUUAAGC